rnacentral:rRNA from 1 species
AACGAACGCUGGCGGCAGGCCUAACACAUGCAAGUCGAACGCUGUAGCAAUACAGAGUGGCAGACGGGUGAGUAACGCGUGGGAACCUUCCCAAUGGUACGGAAUAGCUCAGGGAAACUUGAGGUAAUACCGUAUAAGCCCCUAGGGGGAAAGAUUUAUCGCCAUUGGAUGGGCCCGCGUCGGAUUAGCUAGUUGGUGGGGUAAUGGCCUACCAAGGCAACGAUCCGUAGCUGGUUUGAGAGAAUGACCAGCCAUACUGGGACUGAGACACGGCCCAGACUCCUACGGGAGGCAGCAGUGGGGAAUCUUGGACAAUGGGCGAAAGCCUGAUCCAGCCAUGCCGCGUGAGUGACGAAGGCCUUAGGGUUGUAAAGCUCUUUUGCCGGGGACGAUAAUGACGGUACCCGGAGAAUAAGUCCCGGCUAACUUCGUGCCAGCCGCCGCGGUAAAAC